GACGAACGCUGGCGGCGUGCUUAACACAUGCAAGUCGAGCGGAAAGGCCCUUCGGGGUACUCGAGCGGCGAACGGGUGCGUAACACGUGAGUAACCUGCCCCAGACUUUGGGAUAACCCUCGGAAACGGGGGCUAAUACCGGAUACGACACAGCUUCGCAUGGGGUCUGUGUGGAAAGUUUUUCGGUUUGGGAUGGGCUCGCGGCCUAUCAGCUUGUUGGUGGGGUGAUGGCCUACCAAGGCGACGACGGGUAGCCGGCCUGAGAGGGCGACCGGCCACACUGGGACUGAGACACGGCCCAGACUCCUACGGGAGGCAGCAGUGGGGAAUAUUGCACAAUGGGCGGAAGCCUGAUGCAGCGACGCCGCGUGAGGGAUGACGGCCUUCGGGUUGUAAACCUCUUUCAGCAGGGACGAAGCGUAAGUGACGGUACCUGCAGAAGAGGCGCCGGCCAACUACGUG
rnacentral:rRNA from 1 species